GUCCAGACCUGUGUGAAUAGGG
rnacentral:miRNA from 1 species